rnacentral:rRNA from 1 species
AUUGAACGCUGGCGGCAUGCCUUACACAUGCAAGUCGAACGGCAGCGGACCUUCGGGUGCCGGCGAGUGGCGAACGGGUGAGUAAUGCAUCGGAACGCGCCAUUGAGUGGGGGGAUAACGUAGCGAAAGUUGCGCUAAUACCGCAUAUUCUGUGAGCAGGAAAGCAGGGGACCGCAAGGCCUUGCGCUCUUUGAGCGGCCGAUGUCAGAUAGCUAGUUGGUGAGGUAACGGCUUACCAAGGCGACGAUCUGUAGCGGGUCUGAGAGGAUGAUCCGCCACACUGGAACUGAGACACGGUCCAGACUCCUACGGGAGGCAGCAGUGGGGAAUUUUGGACAAUGGGGGCAACCCUGAUCCAGCCAUGCCGCGUGGGUGAAGAAGGCC